rnacentral:rRNA from 1 species
GACAGAGGUGCCAAGCGUUAGGCGGAAUCACUGGGCUUAAAGCGUGUGUAGGCGGGCGAUCAAGUACCUUGUGAAAUCCCACGGCUCAACCGUGGAACUGCUGGGUAUACUGGUUGUCUUGAGCCAGCUAGGGGCGAGCGGAACAGACGGUGGAGCGGUGAAAUGCGUAGAUAUCGUCUGGAACGCCGAAGGUGAAAACAGCUCGCUGGGGCUGCGCUGACGUGAG